CUCCACGACCAUAUCACCACCCAAGACUGGUUACUCACUGAAGCUAAGCAGGGCUGAGCCUUGUCUGUACCUGGAUGGGAGACCACAUGGGAAAACCUGGUUUCUGUUGGAG
rnacentral:rRNA from 1 species